rnacentral:tRNA from 1 species
GCCCGGGUGGCGAAAUUGGUAGACGCAAGGGACUUAAAAUCCCUUGUCCGAAAGGGCGUGCCGGUUCGACCCCGGCCCCGGGCACCA